GAUAAGGUUAAGUGAAUAAGGGCGCACGGUGGAUGCCUUGGCACUAGGAGCCGAUGAAGGACGGGACUAACACCGAUAUGCUUUGGGGAGCUGUAAGUAAGCUAUGAUCCAGAGAUUUCCGAAUGGGGGAACCCAAUAUCUUUUAUAGGAUAUUACUUUUCAGUGAAUACAUAGCUGAUUAGAGGUAGACGCAGAGAACUGAAACAUCUUAGUACCUGCAGGAAGAGAAAGAAAAUUCGAUUCCCUGAGUAGCGGCGAGCGAAACGGGAAGAGCCCAAACCAACAAGCUUGCUUGUUGGGGUUGUAGGACUCCAAUAUGGUAGUCUGUUAGUAUAGUUGAAGGAUUUGGAAAAUUCCGCUAAAGAGGGUGAAAGCCCCGUAGACGAAAUGCUGACAACACCUAGGAGGAUCCUGAGUACGGCGGAACACGAGAAAUUCCGUCGGAAUCCGCGGGGACCAUCCCGCAAGGCUAAAUACUCCCUAGUGACCGAUAGUGAACCAGUACCGUGAGGGAAAGGUGAAAAGCACCCCGGAAGGGGAGUGAAAUAGAUCCUGAAACCGUGUGCCUACAACAAGUCAAAGCUCGUUAAUGAGUGAUGGCGUGCCUUUUGUAGAAUGAACCGGCGAGUUACGAUUGCAUGCGAGGUUAAGUCGAAGAGACGGAGCCGCAGCGAAAGCGAGUCUGAAUAGGGCGAAUGAGUAUGUAGUCGUAGACCCGAAACCAUGUGAUCUACCCAUGUCCAGGUUGAAGGUGCGGUAAAACGCACUGGAGGACCGAACCCACGUACGUUGAAAAGUGCGGGGAUGAGGUGUGGGUAGCGGAGAAAUUCCAAACGAACUUGGAGAUAGCUGGUUCUCUCCGAAAUAGCUUUAGGGCUAGCCUCGGAAUUGAGAAUGAUGGAGGUAGAGCACUGUUUGGACUAGGGGCCCAUCUCGGGUUACCGAAUUCAGAUAAACUCCGAAUGCCAUUCAU
rnacentral:rRNA from 1 species